AAGAGAUGGGAGCCUCACAUCUAUUACUGCAACCCACAAACAUUCCUCAGUCAUGUUUCCCAGGGAGGGGUAUUUUCAGUAGUACAUGGAAGCGAUAGUGGUAGAGACCCCCCCUCGCAUGCAAUUUCAAAACAAACACUGUAGAUGGAGGCAGAUGAGGAAAGAACGGUGGACAAGCUGCGAUCUGGAGACUAUUGACAAGAUUUAGACUGGAAAACCUUGCCACUGGGAGAAAUUUGCCAGGUUAGAACAUCCGAUUGGAAAAUAGGGGAAAUCUUGGAGUCAGAGAAAAGGCAAAAUUGUUUUAGCUGGAGAAGGAGACGAGUCUGUCCCACGGCAAGCACGGCAGUACUGACUCUCUGCAUAGCGACAGUUUGUGGGGAUUUAUGCCUGCCGGGCGGCAGGGAUGUAUUUGUAAAUGCAUAUUUAUAAGGCCUCCCAAAGAAGCUGGAAGCAGAGCCGUGUGACAUGAGAGGGAUCCUGCUCAGAAAGAGAUUGACUCCUGCACCCCUGGGUGGGGAGGGCCUCUGACGAUCACAGACACGAGACCCUCUGUUUUCCUAGGGAAGACCAAGGCCGCACUGCGCUUAGCAUCUCUUAGAAGCUCUCAGAGCCACCGCGUGUGUUGUUCCAAAGACAGCACACGAGGAAAUGGAAACCCACUUUUAAGAGAUGCCAUUUCACCAAGCUGGACGUGUGUUCCUUUUGUGUUCAUUCUCUUGAAGGAGUGGAAAUUAGCAGUCAAGGUGAAGGGCAGCAUUGGUUGCAGACAGAAACACAGGCUCUUGAACUCAGCGUUUCACCAGAGGAAAAUCCUAGACUGUGAAAACCCCUUUUUAAAGACAUCUAUACCUGCUAUUUAUAGGGCUUGGAAAAUUGGUUUGAAGUCAAAAGCAGUCAUAGCCAAGGCUUUAAAACUCUGCACGUGCAAAAUCAACUUACAAAGAUCUUUAAAAACAUGAGGUCAAAGGUUCAGGAACCUACACGUGAGUCUGUCAUCUCCAGUUUGUCUCACGCGCUUGAAGGAAACUAUGCAAAAUGACCACGAAACGUAGUUUUCAUGACAACUUUUACAGUCUGAUCCAAUUGAGCCUGCACUGUUUGGUUGAGAUAGAUUUCUAGAGUUUUGUCUGAUGAUUUCUACUGAUCCUUCUCCAUUAGAGGUUGUUACGAGACAAUGAGUGUAUCUCCCCAGGAUCUACAGCAGGUCCUUGCUUCAGGGUUUGUCUUAUCCAGAGGUGCCCGCUGUGAACAUGCUUCACAUGAAUUCCUUCCUAUGGAACUGAGAACAGGAACCGAUUCUCACCAGACACAGCUGCGGCAUCAGUGAGGCGGAGUUCACCCCAAACGUCUCCCACUUCUCGGGUUCUCCACCUGAACCUAGAUUCCGGUCAGUGGGGUUUCGUGUGAAAGCAAAGGGAAGCCGUGAUCCCUGUGGGGCGUUGACUCGUCUCUCCUGCUCGAUUGUCACUGUGCAACGCUAGAAACCUAGGCGAACGUGCCUUUGCCUUCCUGACAGCGGCAGAUGCUGUGAUUUGUCAGCGCACAUGUGCUAACGAGAGUGUCCCACGUUACAGAGACGCAAAAGAGCCUCCUGAGGGGUUUCUCUCAAGCUUUGCCCCCACCUUGAAAGGCCUGGAGCCGCAGGAAGAGACUGUUACCUUUGCUCCUUCACCCUGGGUAUGUUUUAGAGUCGGAGGCAAACCCCUCACCCGGUGUCGUCACGUGUAUAUCUGUGGAAGGGGAAUGACUCCGCAGAGCACACUUCCUCCCUUUUGAAGUGUUUCGGGGUGUUUUCUCUUGUUCCCUUCGGGCUUUUCCGGAUAUUACAGUGAUGCCGGCGAAUGUUUCCUGGAGCUCUUGGCUGUCAUUUCACAGAAGGAAAAACAAAUGGAGAGACCUUGGGGUGACCGUCUCUGUGUCCUGGACAGGGAAGUGAUCGUUCUGGAAGCUUGCCCUUCUGGUCCCGCAGACACCAGACCUGGCCGGGAGUGUUUCAUCUCAUCUCGUGACUCGUGAUGUGAACCAGACAGACCUCUCCUCCUGUCCUCCUUGCUUAUCCUCCCCUCGGCUACCUUUAUUUAUGGCUUUUUAUACCAGACAAUCGGGCUUCCCCGAUGGCUCAGCUGAUAAAGAAUCCGCCUGUACUGCGGGAGACCUGGGUUUGAUCCUUGGGUCGGGAAGAUCCCCUGGAGGAAGAAAUGGCAACCUACUCCAGUAUUCUUGUCUGGAGAAUCCCGUGGACCCAGGAGCCUGGCGGGCUGCAGCCCACGGGGCCACAAAGAAUUGGACACAACUGAGCAACUGAGCAAGCACCGCAUACCAGACAAUCAUUAGCCACAAUCUCCUUCCAGGAAAUGUACCUUAAAAGCAGAAAUGCUCACAUUCUCCUGACGUUACAUAUUUGGUUUCUCAAAGGAUUUCUUGAUGAAUAUCUCCUUUUAUAAAUUCAUUUUCUUAAC